rnacentral:rRNA from 1 species
UACGUAGGGUGCAAGCGUUGUCCGGAAUUACUGGGCGUAAAGAGCUCGUAGGCGGUUUGUCGCGUCUGCCGUGAAAGUCCGGGGCUCAACUCCGGAUCUGCGGUGGGUACGGGCAGACUAGAGUGAUGUAGGGGAGACUGGAAUUCCUGGUGUAGCGGUGAAAUGCGCAGAUAUCAGGAGGAACACCGAUGGCGAAGGCAGGUCUCUGGGCAUUAACUGACGCUGAGGAGCGAAAGCAUGGGGAGCGAACAGG